UGGAACCUAUAGGGGGCCUGUCACCCGGCACGUGUGCCGGGGGCAGGCCCGGGGGUGAGGGGAGGGAGGCCCGCGGGCCGCCGGGGUCCGACCCGACCCCGACCCCCUGCCCCAGCCCGUUGCUGGCUCCGGCCCCGGCCCCGCUCGGGCCUCUCCUCCGGCGCCCUGGCGGGGCCGGCUCGGCGAGCAGUAAGUUCGUGGCCGCCCUCCGAGGCCGGGCGUGCACAGGAUGGCAAGAGUUCGUGUGCGUGCGUGCUUGUGUACACCAGUGUGACCUAGAAAUGGAUCACCAUAAGCAAUUUAAACCAAAUAAUGAUGAAUUUCCUGGGAAAGAGUGAAAAAUAGAGGCUAUUGGAAAUACUUUUCUUCUUAAACAAAAACCAGGACACAAAGUACUGUAAGAACUCAGAGUAUGGAGAGAUCAUUCUGGCAGUGUACUGAAUGAAUCAAGAGUGACUGGAGAAGGAUUUUUGGAGGCAGGACUUGAUCCUUUCCUGCCUACUUCGCUUGAUCAAAAUCAUACACACUUAUUUUUCAAGAUCUCAAGCAUGAAGCCUUCCAGAUACCCCCAGUCAUUCAACACAGUAUAUAAGGAACAUCUACGCCAUGCCAGGCAUGGUGCCAGACAGGACCCAGCCCCCUCUGGGGACCACAUACAUGCUUCCGUAGAACUCACAGCUGAUGUGCCAGCGAGUAUACUGGUAAUAUUAAACCACAAUAUUGUUCUUUCAUUCUUGAAAGUCCCAAGUUCCUGGUUGGCCUGUAGCGGCAAACAACAUGAAUCAGUGACUCCAGGGAUGGUAGGGAUGACCUAGGACAGAGGAAUCAUGGUUCACUUUUAAACAUCAAAUUGGAUUAGUAUUUAAAAAUCCAUAACCAGGCAUUAGUCUCGAAAGCAGACUGUUGAAAGAGAAAAGGGUUAUCAAGAGACUCAACUCUUGGGUUUUCAAGAUGGCGGACUAGAGGGUGGCUGCAUUUCAUGUUGCUCCAGGAU